UGCCCAUCGCUGUCAGCUGCACAACAUUAUCACAUGAAAGAGGUUAACAGUCUGGCAACGGGUAUUGGUGAGCGCUGGGUUCAAGUACUCCCAGUGAUUGCAAAAUGGAGAACAGGUGCACCUACUUGAGCCUCCCUGGGCCACACCCGCUCCUGAAAAACAGUAGUUAGUUUUUCACACCCUUUCACACAAACAGAGGAGAGGCAGACAGAAUUCAGGCCAGCACCUGGAAUACAGUCAUAUUGUGGGAGACCUGGAAGACUUUCAACACAGACACUUCUCCACAAAAAGCUGUCUUCCUUUCUUGCAAUGCGUGGAGUGAUGCUGAAGGCUUGUUUACAGACACCCCAUGGGAUGGAGGGCAUGAUGUGAAUUAGGAGGUGGCUGAGGUGUUAGAAGGACUAAGGAAAAUCAUGCUACAAUGUGACUGCACUGUAGUUGAAAGC